UUUCGCGGUAUGGGANGGGGUCGCGUCCUAUCAGCUUGACGGCGGGGUAACGGCCCACCGUGGCUUCGACGGGUAGCCGGCCUGAGAGGGCGACCGGCCACAUUGGGACUGAGAUACGGCCCAGACUCCUACGGGAGGCAGCAGUGGGGAAUAUUGCACAAUGGGCGCAAGCCUGAUGCAGCGACGCCGCGUGAGGGAUGGAGGCCUUCGGGUUGUAAACCUCUUUUAUCGGGGAGCAAGCGAGAGUGAGUUUACCCGUUGAAUAAGCACCGGCUAACUACGUGCCAGCAGCCGCGGUAAUACGUAGGGUGCAAGCGUUAUCCGGAAUUAUUGGGCGUAAAGGGCUCGUAGGCGGUUCGUCGCGUCCGGUGUGAAAGUCCAUCGCUUAACGGUGGAUCCGCGCCGGGUACGGGCGGGCUUGAGUGCGGUAGGGGAGACUGGAAUUCC
rnacentral:rRNA from 1 species